rnacentral:rRNA from 1 species
UACGUAGGGUGCAAGCGUUGUCCGGAAUUAUUGGGCGUAAAGAGCUCGUAGGCGGUUCGUCGCGUCGGCUGUGAAAUCCCGAGGCUCAACCUCGGGUCUGCAGUCGAUACGGGCGGACUGGAGUUCGGCAGGGGAGACUGGAAUUCCUGGUGUAGCGGUGAAAUGCGCAGAUAUCAGGAGGAACACCGGUGGCGAAGGCGGGACUCUGGGCCGAUACUGACGCUGAGGAGCGAAAGCGUGGGGAGCGAACAGG